GGGAGUUUAGCUCAGCGGGAGAGCGUCUGCCUUACAAGCAGAGGGCCACAGGUUCAAAUCCUGUAACUCCCACCA
rnacentral:tRNA from 2 species